GCGUCGGUGGUUCAGUGGUAGAAUACUCGCCUGCCACGCGGGUGACCCGGGUUCGAUUCCUGGCCGACGCA
rnacentral:tRNA from 1 species